ACUUGAUGGAGACGUGUAGGACAGGCUUUCGCGACUCAGCGAUUCCCCUAGGCUCGCCAGCUCGGCAGGCUGGAGGGAGCUGGGCGCUAGGACAGAGCGGGCCUCGGUUGCUGGGGCGACCGGGCGACCUCUCACCCGGAAGCAAACAUGCAAGGAGCCAAUCGGAAGACGCCUGGGCGGGGCAGCUGCUGCGGGUGAGGUCCAAGAAGGAGGCCGAACCCAGCCCGGACCCCGACCCUGGGUGCCGCCUCCUGAGCUCUGAGGCCAGCGACGCUACGAGCCAGGUGAAAAUGAGUUCUUCAGUGAGAAGAAAAGGCAAGCCAGGCAAAGGGGAUGGAAAGGGGUCUUCUAGAGGAGGAAGAGGAGGCAGAGGACACGUGAAUAAAUCUCAUGGGGGUGGAGGUAGUGGCGGCGGUGGCUGCGGCGGUGGCGGUGGUGGUGGCAGCGGCAGUAGAAAGGCCUCAAAUAGAAUUUGGGAUGAUGGCGAUGACUUUUGUGUCUUCACUGAAUCCAAGCGCCCGUCCAGGCCCUGCGACAGUAACAAAAGCAAAGGAGAAACACGGCCUAAGUGGAAGCCCAAAGCCAAAGUGCCCCUUCAGACGCUGCACAUGACAUCAGAGAAUCAGGAGAAGGUGAAAGCCCUUCUGAGGGACCUGCAGGAACAGGGUGCGGACGCGGGAUCCGAAAGAGGCUCCUCUGGGGAGGAGGAAGAGGACGUGCCCGAGGGUGCUGCUGAGCAGAGCUGGUCAGCUGGACCAGAGCCAACCUUUCUUCCCGACUGCCGUCCUUGGGAGUAUAUAGGCCCAGAAGAAGUGGAGCCUCCUCUUCCGGAAUUUACAGUCUCGCCACUGGCAGUGCAAAAACUUUCCAGGUAUGGCUUCCACACGGAGCACUGUCAGCUGGCCCUGAGGAUCUGUGAGGGAGACUUAGGGGCAGCACUAGAGCACCUUCUGCACCAGUGCUUCUCGGAGACCUUUGGAGAGAGGAUGGCGCUCUCUGAGGCAGCCGUUUCUGUGAGCUUGGAUGAGUGCGUGGAGCAGAGACAGGAAGAGACGCUUGCUCUCAAGUCAAUCUGUGGAGAAAAAUUUAUAGAAAGAAUUCAGAACAGAGUCUGGACCAUUGGAUUGGAACUGGAAUAUUUGACCAACAAAUUCUGCAAGUCUAAGCAAAAGGAAAGUAGCAAAAAUGUACGGGACACUUCACCUGAAACCUGUAAAUUUUACCUCAAAGGAAACUGUAAAUUUGGAUCAAAAUGCAAAUUCAAACAUGAAGUGCCCCCACAUCAGCUCAUUGGGAGAACGGAGAGAAACGUAAACGACCCUCAUCUGGAUGCUGAGAAAGACACCACUUUUCUGUAUGAGCUUCAGAUCCGCUUUUCUAAAGACCACAAAUACCCCUACCAGGCUCCCCUCGUGGCGUUUUAUUCCACCAAUGAGAACCUACCUCUGGCUUGUCGUUUACAUAUUUCUGAGUUCCUUUAUGGCAAGGCCUUGGAAUUCGCAAAAACUUCAGAACCUGUUGUAUAUUCUUUGAUCACCCUCUUAGAGGAAGAGUCUGAGAUUGUCAAGUUACUAACACACACUCAACAUAAGUACAGUGUUCCUCCCAUCAACGUCCCUCCAGCACCAUCCGAGACCAGAAUAAGUAAACCUGCCUACCGCAAACCGGUGAUCCCAAGUAACACUUUUCUUUCUAAUCAGAUGCUAGAAGGGGAAGGAUUAUCAGAGCUGGAGGAGGAUGCAGAUGAGGACGAAGGCCCUGCACCUAUUGUCGUGGAGAAUGAAAGCUAUGUGAACCUUAAGAAAAGGAGCUACAGAAGGUGUGAGCGGCCUGCAAAGUCCUUAUUUGCGGAGAACAGUAAGAUCUGCAGGCAGUUCCAGAUGAAACAGGCUUCCAGACAGUUCCACGCAAUUCUACAAGAAAGACAGUUACUACCUGCUUGGGAAGAAAGAGAAACCAUUCUUAAAUUGUUGAGCAAGCACCAAGUGGUUGUCAUAAGUGGUAUGACUGGAUGUGGGAAAACCACACAGAUUCCACAGUUUAUUCUGGAUAAUUCUCUGAACGGGCCACCUGAGAGGGUGGCAAACAUCAUCUGUACCCAACCCCGACGAAUCUCUGCGAUCUCUGUUGCUGAGCGUGUUGCUAAGGAAAGAGCAGAAAGAGUGGGUCUGACUGUGGGCUAUCAGAUCCGGUUGGAAAGUGUCAAGUCCUCAGCCACCAGACUGUUAUACUGCACCACAGGAGUGCUGCUGAGAAGGCUGGAAGGGGACGCAACUUUGCAGGGAGUCACCCACAUCAUUGUUGAUGAAGUCCACGAGAGGACAGAAGAAAGUGACUUCUUACUGCUAGUUCUAAAGGACAUUGUGAUGCAGAGAGCGACUCUGCAGGUCAUCCUCAUGAGUGCCACUCUGGAUGCUGGGCUCUUCUCCAAGUAUUUCAGCUACUGCCCUGUCAUCACCAUACCAGGUCGUGCAUUUCCUGUUGAUCAGUUUUUUCUGGAGGAUGCACUUGCCGUGACCAGGUAUGUGUUACAGGACGGGAGCCCGUAUAUGCGCUCCAUGAAACAGAUUGCGAAGGAAAAGCUUAAAGCCAGGCACAACAGAACUGCACUGGAGGAGGUGGAGGAAGACCUGAGGCUGGCCCUUCACCUCCAGGACGAGGAGGAGUCUGUCAAAGACACAAUACCUGAUCAGCAGUUAGAUUUCAAGCAGCUCUUGGUCCGUUAUAAAGGGUUUAGCAAGUCGGUCAUCAAGACAAUGUCUGUCAUGGAUUUUGAAAAGGUCAACCUUGAAUUAAUAGAGGCCUUGUUAGAGUGGAUUGUAGACGGCAAGCACUCCUACCCUCCAGGUGCUAUACUUGUGUUUUUACCAGGGCUAGCGGAAAUCAAGAUGCUUUAUGAACAGCUACAGUCUAACUCUCUCUUCAACAACAGACGAAGUCAUCGGUGUGUCAUUCACCCACUGCACUCGUCGCUAUCCAGUGAAGAGCAACAGGCGGUGUUUGUGAAGCCCCCACUAGGCGUGACUAAGAUUAUAAUUUCCACCAACAUCGCUGAGACUUCCAUAACCAUUGAUGACGUCGUGUAUGUCAUCGAUUCUGGGAAGAUGAAAGAAAAGAGAUACGAUGCCGGCAAAGGGAUGGAAAGUCUAGAGGACACGUUUGUGUCUCAGGCCAACGCUCUGCAGAGAAAAGGCCGAGCUGGCCGAGUUGCCUCUGGAGUCUGCUUCCACUUGUUCACCAGCCACCACUACAACCACCAGCUUCUGAAGCAGCAGCUCCCAGAGAUCCAGAGGGUGCCCCUGGAGCAGCUGUGCCUCAGUACGGUUGCGAGACUUGGGAGCCUUGACUCCGGAUGAAAAGCUCACCCCCCUGGGCUAUCACUUGGCCUCUCUGCCUGUGGACGUUAGGAUCGGCAAACUGAUGUUGUUGGGAUCAAUCUUCCGCUGCCUGGACCCUGCUCUCACCAUUGCUGCCAGCUUGGCUUUUAAGUCCCCUUUCGUGUCUCCCUGGGAUAAGAAAGAAGAGGCCAAUCAGAAAAAGCUGGAAUUCGCAUUUGCAAACAGUGAUUAUCUGGCCCUUCUCUGCGCAUAUAAGGGUUGGCAGCUGAGUACAAAAGAAAGUGCACGAGCAAGUUAUAAUUACUGCAGACAGAAUUUCCUGUCUGGGAGAACUCUGCAGGAAAUGGCCAGCCUCAAACGGCAGUUCACUGAGCUGCUUUCCGACAUAGGGUUUGUCAAAGAGGGACUCAGAGCAAAAGAGAUUGAAAAGAGAGCCCAAGGGGGAGAUGGUGUCCUGGAUGCCACAGGAGAGGAGGCUAACACAAAUGCUGAGAACCCCAAGCUGAUAUCAGCAGUGCUGUGUGCCGCUCUGUAUCCAAAUGUAGUGCAGGUCAAGACCCCAGAAGGAAAGUUCCAGAAGACCAGUUCUGGAGUGGUCAGGCUGCAGCCAAAGUCAGCUGAGCUGAAGUUCGUUACCAAGAAUGACGGCUAUGUCCACAUUCACCCUUCCUCAGUGAACUAUCAGGUCAGACACUUCGACAGCCCCUACCUGUUGUACCAUGAGAAAAUCAAAACGAGCCGGGUGUUUAUCCGAGACUGCAGCAUGGUGUCUGUGUACCCCCUAGUCUUGUUUGGCGGAGGCCAAGUGAGUGUGCAGCUUCAAAGAGGGGCAUUCGUCGUCUCCUUGGAUGAUGGGUGGAUCCGGUUCGUGGCAGCUUCCCACCAGGUGGCCGAACUGGUGAAGGAACUCCGCUGUGAGCUUGACCAGCUCCUCCAGGAUAAAAUUAAGAACCCAAGCAUGGACCUGUGUACCUGUCCUAGAGGGUCUCGAAUUAUCAGCAUGAUUGUGAAGCUGAUCACCACACAGUGAGACUGGCCGGUUGUCUGCUCUUCACCUCUGUUCCCUACAAGGCACAGGAGCACUCCUACCUCCCAUGGAAGACUGACCUGGGGCUGCCCCUGGGGCACAGAGCCUGGGCCCCACAGCCCAAGAGACAGUCUCCACACUGGUGUUUCUGAAAACAUGGGGACACUCCCAGCACAAUUUGGAGUGUCAGUGGUAGGACAGUCUAAAACCCAGCUUGUCUUUUUGUGACUGUACCAAACUGAAUGCAAUUCACCUCAUAACUCGAGACUGAAUGUUUAAUAUAAUUCUGUCUUAAUGUAUGUAUUCUUCCCUCCUCCUUUUUAUUAUGCAUUGUCUGUACUUAAUUGAUGAUCCUUUUCUCUUGUUUUUUUUACUGGGCAUGAGGAGAAAUGUUUGGUUUUCCCUGUCAUAAUAAAGGCUUACCUGAGAGAACUCAAAUGAAAGAAAAAAAGAAAUCAUGUGAGUAAGAAAAAUAAAACUUUCAUUUUAGACCUGG